rnacentral:lncRNA from 1 species
UGAAAGAGGAUGGCAAUCUCGCUGAAGCUGUUUCUUUUUCUUCACAACAUAUAGGAAAGUGUUGCCCCUUUUUGGAGAAAGUAACAACCUCCACCAACACUACUUGAAUCAGUACUGAACGAAUGUCAGGUCCUUGGGAAAUUCUCCAAUCCUGUCUCCUGUCCUGGCCGGGUGUGCUCCUGGUGCACCAUUCGACUAAGUCAAUUUGAACUAUUUGGGAGACCUUUGUACCUACGUUUCCUUCUGCUUGGAAGAUCCUUUCUGUUUUGUCAGCUCUUACUUCCAUGUUGUGGAAAACUGAUCUGACCUCCUAGUCCUGAAUCAGGGGCCAUAAAGAAAAUUGAUGAGGACAACUGGCCUCCCAGUAUGUGGAUUCAGUUUCCAUAUGUCAAUUUACCAACUCCCACUGGUAGUCUGAAGAGAUAUGGCUACUGGAGAACAGAAAAUCACCAGUAUUAAUAAAAGCAAUUUUAAGUGUUUACCUUUUAGUAUUUGAAUAGCUUUGUUAAAGAGACGUACUCAAGAAUACUAUGAAGAGACUCUUAUUGUACUCCUUACCUGGAGAUAAUUGUGAUGCCAGAAAUUCAAAUUUAUAUUCAACAAUAUGGUUUUUCAACCAUCAAUAUUAUAAACAUCUAGGCAGUGUCUAUUGUUUGCGCAUUUGCCAUCCUCUAAAAUGAGAUUAUUCUAAGCAUAAAUUAUACUUCAUCAUUCAAGAUUAUAAACAUUUAUAAUAAUCAUAAUAUUCACAGACAUUUCCCUGCUCUCAAAUCACUAGAGCUAAUAGGCAAAGUAGAUACAGCUACAAACAGUGGGAGAAAAUAUUUCUGGCUGACCUACAAAUAGCUGUGCAAUAAUGUAGAGAGGAAAAUAUAGUCUCACUUACAGUGUCUGAAAUUGAGUUUCC